CAGUGUUAGAGUUACUCUGAUUAGCCCCGCCCUCCAGCCCCUCCUCGUGUCCACACCCUGAAGAAUUUUCUGGAAGCCAUAUUCUGAAUGUUUAAGGACUGCGGGAAAAUGCUGGUAAAAGUGAGAAUGGGUGAUGUCCAAAAAGUUGUUAGAAUAACAGAACCAAAUUUGACGGACUUUUUGAAUGCAGCAUUUGCCAAAUUGGGUGUCCCAGCUGUAACAGAAGGUGUCAAAGUUGUUGACAGUUCAGGGACUGAGAUAGAUGAUGAUGUUUUUGAGGAAAUUGUGAAGGAUCCAUCCACUGGGGUUCUAACCAUCAAAUACGAAACAGAAUCUGUCUCCAUGGUAACCUCUCCAAAGUCCCAAUCAUCCGUUUGUUCAUCGGACUCAGACACAAUCAUCCUUGAAGACACUCCUACUAGAAAGCGUCAGAGGCUGGACUCUGAAGCUAUGCAACUGGUGAAAUCCAUUCUUACCAAGAAAUCGGGUGGAGAAUAUAUAAUAAAUAAAUACAACCGAACUAAGUCCUUGACAGAUGAGAGCAGAAGAAAAUUGGUGAAUAUACUGGCAGCUGAGAUGACGGAGAAGAAUGGAUAAGUUGUUUAUUGGUUUUGAUUGGCACAUGUGUUCUUAUUUAGGUUUCAGAGUAAUUUUAAAUCUAAAGUAAAUAAUAAACAUUUCACUACAUCUUAUAAAACGUGUGUAUGACAAAUAAACUUGAAUGUGAUUUUUUUUAAGUACAUCUCCAUAGACAGGUGAAGGAAAUGUAUGCACAAGAAAUUGUAAAAUCUUGUUCCCCAACCUCAGAGACCCAUUUUCCAAGAAUGGCUAUGAACAUUUUUAUGAUAGCAACAGUAGUACUGGGUACUUGGCCUGGAGAAUUAAAACUAUUCAGAGAUGCAGUGCUAAAGAAAGGCAGUCAUCAUUUUGAGGACCAUCUGAUGAAGACAAGUCGGGAGGACCAACUGUUGGACGAGUUACCCAAUUCAUUCCAGAGACUGUCCUGUCUGAAGAUGAGUGCACGGAAGCGAUGUUACUGAUGAAACAUUCGGCUGACGUGGACAUGGUCAUCAAAAAGAUGAAGCUGACAUUUGCUCAUCGGCAUAACAUGGUCCUGGACCCACAGCAGUCAAGCAACAUUCUAUCUUAUUUUCCUCGCUUUAAAGACAUCAAAGGCUUGGUUGAACAGGAUUUUGUUCUAAUGUUUGGAGAGGAUGUAUCGGGCAAGUUUGUGGAGAAGUGGCCAACCACACUCAAAAAGAAGAUCAUCCAACAAUGCAGAAAGCUUCCCUCCAUCACUGAGCUUGAGGAACUCCUGAUGGCAGCUGACCCUCCUGAGGAUGGGACUGAAGUGAAUGUUGACUUUGGUUGGGACAGUGACCUCUCAUCGAUUUUGCUGCUCUUACACUUGAUCCCACCGACUGCUCUAGGUCGGAAGAGGCCAGGAAAAGUUUCUGCAUCCCGGGCUGAGAAGCAUCUUGGGGUCUUCUAGAAGACUGGAACAAGCAUCCAAGAACAUCUUGACACCAUUACUACCAGCACUCAACCCUAUCUCCUGGCUGUUGGAGUGAGGAAGAAUACAACCCACCAGUUCUUCAUAAUUCUCGACAAGAAUGCCAUACCUUGCAGGUCACACUCCUCUCUUGGUGCUUUUGAUGAACUGUUUAAAGCACACUUUGUGUUUGCGACAUCCUACCACACCAUGCUCCACACCAUGUACACAGUCAUCCAGACUACUUUGUACAACAUUGAUGUUGGGAAGGUCAAAGAGUCCUCAUGUUGCUGAAAUUAGGACAAGGUUGCUUCUGUAGUGUUUGACUUUUGUCUUCCACCAUUAAGUGUUUUGUUUGUCAGGCUGAGUUCCCUAGUUCAAACAUGCUUGUUCGACAUUUACGUUUAGUUCACGGUUACCUGCCUGGAAAAAAUCUUAACCUUAAAUGCGUUCAAACUGGAUGUGGUGGUGUGUUUGGUACUUUCUCUGGUUUUAGGAAGCAUUUGAAAACAAAACACUCAGAGUGUACUGAACUACAGAUUGGCACCAAUGUUCACUUAAACAGGACAGAAGAGACAGUGUCAGUUAAUGUAGAUGAGUCAGCCACAACAUCUGAACAGUUGAGACAAGCUAAUAGGAGCAGUCUGGAUAUGUGUGCCACUGCUGUUGCACAACUUAAGGCAGCUGGAUUAAGUCAGUCUACUAUGAAUGGUUUUGUCUCAUCCAUGGAGGAAGUGUACAGAGUACCGCUGUGACUUCAUUGUCUGUUCAGAAGUGGCAUUUGACAUGCCUGUGUUUUGUAAGAUAAAAAAUAUUAUUGUCAAAGAUGAUGAUGUAUUGCUCUGUGGGAAACUGAUGGAAACUGUGUGUUUUGAGGAGCAUUACCAAGCCUAUAAGGUCAGGCUGCAUCCAGUCAAAGUUGUUAAGGUUUUGGACAUAACAAAACUGCCUUACUCCAAACCAUUUGAUGUUCAAAUGGCGUAUGGAACAUCAUGUUCCACAUUCUAUGUUGUCCCAUAUUGCCAUUUCAUGCAGCCCUAAGGUCACCCUUUCUGUAUUCUCUCCCUAAAGUUGAUUGUUCUGCCUGACAAAGAAAU